AUUGAACGCUGGCGGCAUGCUUUACACAUGCAAGUCGAACGGUAACAGGCCGCAAGGUGCUGACGAGUGGCGAACGGGUGAGUAAUGCAUCGGAACGUGCCCAGUCGUGGGGGAUAACGCAGCGAAAGCUGCGCUAAUACCGCAUACGAUCUCUGGAUGAAAGCGGGGGACCGAAAGGCCUCGCGCGAUUGGAGCGGCCGAUGUCAGAUUAGGUAGUUGGUGGGGUACAGGCCCACCAAGCCAACGAUCUGUAGCUGGUCUGAGAGGACGACCAGCCACACUGGGACUGAGACACGGCCCAGACUCCUACGGGAGGCAGCAGUGGGGAAUUUUGGACAAUGGGCGAAAGCCUGAUCCAGCAAUGCCGCGUGCAGGAAGAAGGCCUUCGGGUUGUAAACUGCUUUUGUACGGAACGAAACGGUCCGGGUUAAUACCCUGGGCUAAUGACGGUACCGUAAGAAUAAGCACCGGCUAACUACGUGCCAGCCGCCGCCGUAAGAC
rnacentral:rRNA from 1 species